ACUCAGGACGAACGCUGGCGGCGUGCCUAAUACAUGCAAGUCGAACGGUCUUUCUAUGGAAGCUUGCUUCCACUGAGAAGAUAGUGGCGAACGGGUGAGUAACACGUGGGUAACCUGCCCAUAAGAGGGGGGAUAACAUCCGGAAACGGGUGCUAAUACCGCAUAGUUUUCUUGAUCGCAUGAUCGGGAAAGGAAAGACGGCCUUUGUGCUGUCGCUUAUGGAUGGACCCGCGGCGUAUUAGUUAGUUGGUGAGGUAACGGCUCACCAAGACGAUGAUACGUAGCCGACCUGAGAGGGUGAUCGGCCACAUUGGGACUGAGACACGGCCCAAACUCCUACGGGAGGCAGCAGUAGGGAAUCUUCCGCAAUGGACGAAAGUCUGACGGAGCAACGCCGCGUGAGUGAAGAAAAGGUUUUUCGGAUCGUAAAACUCUGUUGUCAGAGAAGAACAAGUUGGAGAGUAACUGCUCCAGCCUUGACGGUAUCUGACCAGAAAGCCACGGCUAACUACGUGCCAGCCGCAGC
rnacentral:rRNA from 1 species